rnacentral:tRNA from 1 species
GGAUCCGUAGCUUAACCCGGUAGAGCGGUUGGCUCUUAACCAACUCGUUGGGGGUUCAAAUCCCCUCGGAUCCA